rnacentral:rRNA from 2 species
CAAUAGAGUGGCGAACGGGUGAGUAAGGCGUGAAUAACCUACCUUGAUGAGGGGGACAACCAUUCGAAAGGAUGGCUAAUACCCCAUAAGCUCCUACGGGAGGAAAGCUGGCUUUGCUGGCGCUUCAGGAGGGGUUCACGUACUAUUAGCUAGUUGGUGGGGUAAUGGCCUACCAAGGCUAUGAUGGUUAGCCGGCCUGAGAGGGUGUCCGGCCACACUGGGACUGAGACACUGCCCAGACUCCUACGGGAGGCUGCAGUCGAGAAUCUUCCACUAAUGCGCGAAAGCGUGAUGGAGCAAUUCCGUGUGUAGGAUGAAGGCCUUAGGGUUGUAAACUACUGUUGGAAGGGCGUAAUCCCCGGGAGUUAAUACCUCUCCGGGUUGAACUCCCUUCGGAGGAAGCAGCGGCUAAAUUCGUGCCAGCAGCCGCGGUAAUACGAAUGCUGCAAGCGUAGUUCGGAAUCACUGGGCAUAAAGGGCACGUAGGCGGCUUGUUAAGUCAGCUGUGAAAUCCCUCGGCUCAACCGAGGAACUGCAGCUGAUACUGACAGGCUUGAGUUCGGGAGGGGAGAGCGGAAUUCCUGGUGGAGCGGUGAUAUGCAUAGAGAUCAGGAGGAACGCCGGUGGCGAAAGCGGCUCUCUGGACCGAAACUGACGCUGAGGUGCGAAAGCUAGGGGAGCGAACAGGAUUAGAUACCCUGGUAGUCCUAGCCGUAAACGAUGGGUACUAAGUGGGGGGACUCCCAAGGUCUCCCUGCCGGAGC